AUGACCUUCCCCCAUCCCCCCGCCCCCCAGGGCAGUUUAUUGGUAUUCUGUGUCCAGAGCUCUCUCCACAGAAGCCAUCAGAUUUGGGGACUACACAGAACAGAAAGUGGCUCCAACUUGGGCCUCAGACAUGUCAAUAUCCUUAGGGUGACAGGUGGGGGUGGGGCGCAAGGUCAGAAGUCGCUAGCGGAAGCCGGGGGUGGGGGGAUCUGGGAGGGAAAGGCGGUCCCUGGCCAACCUCCCUCCCACCGUCGCCUGCUAGAACCUUUUUUUUUUCAGGGCGCCUCUUCUCGGUGGCGGAGGGGCCGGCGGGGGGCGAGAGCUCAUCUCCAAGGCGGAGUGCAGCCGGCACCAGGUUCCCUGGGAAGGGGGAGCGAAAUUUGUCGCGUGUCAGCGACCUGGAGGCGACUGUUCGCAGGCAACCGUCCCGCGCCCUCCCCGCCAGGCUACUCUGCUCCGACGCGCGUGUCGCCUGCAAGUCGGGACGGCCGGGCGGGGCGAUCCCGCGGGUCCGGGCAGGUCGCACAGGCGGCUGGCUCCCCGCGGGUGCGCCCUCCCUGCCACUCGGCCGCCCGGGAGGUGCCCUCCGCGCCGGCCUCCCGGCCUUUGUUGCGCGCCGCCCGCCCUCCCUCUGUCGUGUCCGCGCUGUCCUUCCUGGCGUCCGCGGGGGCCGGCGCGGGAGACGGCGCUCUGGCCGCACUGCCCCGCCCCGGGGCCGCCCGGCCUGGCGCGGGCUCGGUUGGAGGCGCAGGACCGCUGGAGCCGGCAGUUUUCCAGAGGCUGGGGGCGGGGUGGGGACGGGUUGCACGCUCCCAGCCCCCAACAGACACACGACGCAGGAGCCCUCGCUGGGCGCCGGAGGCCGGGAAGAGGCUGGCCCUCACUUUGCCCCAGAGGGACGCACGGCUGGGGACCGCGGGGCGGACAACCGGGAGGACUGGCCUGAGCAGGAGGGAGGGAUGGGACGGGAAGCGAGGCGACUCAGGACUGGCACGCGUGGCGGGGGGCGCAGAAUGGGGACCGGUUCGCGCAGUGUUCCGAGUCUCAGGAUGGAGGAACCACAGGCGCAGCUCGGAUUUGGGAAGUGAAGGUUAA
rnacentral:lncRNA from 1 species